rnacentral:rRNA from 1 species
AGCGAACGCUGGCGGCAGGCCUAACACAUGCAAGUCGAACGAAGUCUUCGGACUUAGUGGCGGACGGGUGAGUAACACGUGGGAACGUACCUUUUGGUUCGGAACAACUCAGGGAAACUUGAGCUAAUACCGGAUGAGCCCUUAGGGGGAAAGAUUUAUCGCCGAAAGAGCGGCCCGCGUUAGAUUAGCUAGUUGGUGAGGUAAAGGCUCACCAAGGCUACGAUCUGUAGCUGGUCUGAGAGGAUGAUCAGCCACAUUGGGACUGAGACACGGCCCAAACUCCUACGGGGGGCAGCAGUGGGGAAUCUUGCGCAAUGGGCGAAAGCCUGACGCAGCCAUGCCGCGUGAAUGAUGAAGGUCUUAGGAUUGUAAAAUUCUUUCACCGGGGACGAUAAUGACGGUACCCGGAGAAGAAGCCCCGGCUAACUUCGUGCCAGCAGCCGCCGUAAGAC